rnacentral:pre_miRNA from 1 species
ACAACAACAUUCGGACCGUCGGUCUACCGAGCAAUAUCACCCGCUCGGUGGAAGAUCUUCCCUUUGUCGUAUAAA